GGGCUCAUAGCUCAGUGGCUAGAGUGCCCGCUUUGCAAAAGCAUUAAAAUAUUGCGGGAGGUCCGGGUUUCGAUCACCCGUGGGUCCA